GUGAUGAGAAACCCGGGUCUGUACUAUGCAGAGGACAUAGGCCGCUGA
rnacentral:snoRNA from 1 species